CCCAGUGGGGGAUAACUACUCGAAAGAGUAGCUAAUACCGCAUGAGAUCUACGGAUGAAAGCAGGGGACCUUCGGGCCUUGUGCUACUAGAGCGGCUGAUGGCAGAUUAGGUAGUUGGUGGGGUAAAGGCUUACCAAGCCUGCGAUCUGUAGCUGGUCUGAGAGGACGACCAGCCACACUGGGACUGAGACACGGCCCAGACUCCUACGGGAGGCAGCAGUGGGGAAUUUUGGACAAUGGGCGAAAGCCUGAUCCAGCAAUGCCGCGUGCAGGAUGAAGGCCCUCGGGUUGUAAACUGCUUUUGUACGGAACGAAAAGCCUGGGGCUAAUAUCCCCGGGUCAUGACGGUACCGUAAGAAUAAGCACCGGCUAACUACGUGCCAGCAGCCGCGGUAAUACGUAGGGUGCAAGCGUUAAUCGGAAUUACUGGGCGUAAAGCGUGCGCAGGCGGUUUUGUAAGACAGUGGUGAAAUCCCCGGGCUCAACCUGGGAACUGCCAUUGUGACUGCAAAGCUAGAGUGCGGCAGAGGGGGAUGGAAU
rnacentral:rRNA from 1 species